AGAUCAUUGUGGGGACAAUUCAUUAUUAACCCUUUAUAUUGUUCCCAUGCCUCAUACAAAGACUCCCCUACUUUUUGCUCGAAAUUAGCUAUGGAUUUUUUAAGUUU